rnacentral:rRNA from 1 species
GACGAACGCUGGCGGCGUGCUUAACACAUGCAAGUCGAACGGUGAAGCGCCUUCCUUUUUGGUGGGUGUGGAUGAGUGGCGAACGGGUGAGUAACACGUGAGUAACCUGCCCCCUUCUUCUGGAUAACCGCAUGAAAGUGUGGCUAAUACGGGAUAUUCUGGGUCUGUCGCAUGAUGGGUCUGGGAAAGAUAUUGUUUCGGUGGGGGAUGGGCUCGCGGCCUAUCAGCUUGUUGGUGGGGUGAUGGCCUACCAAGGCGGUGACGGGUAGCCGGCCUGAGAGGGUGGACGGUCACACUGGGACUGAGACACGGCCCAGACUCCGACGAGAGGCAGCAGUGGGGAAUAGUGCACAAUGGGCGCAAGCCUGAUGCAGCGACGCCGCGUGAGGGAUGGAGGCCUGCGGGUUGUGAACCUCUUUCGCCAGUGAAGCAGGCCUGCCUCGUUUGUGGGUGGGUUGACGGUAGCUGGAGAAGAAGCGCCGGCUAACUACGUG